rnacentral:rRNA from 1 species
GAUGAACGCUGGCGGCGUGCUUAACACAUGCAAGUCGAACGGAAAGGCCCAAGCUUGCUUGGGUACUCGAGUGGCGAACGGGUGAGUAACACGUGGGUAAUCUGCCCUGCACUUCGGGAUAAGCCUGGGAAACUGGGUCUAAUACCGGAUAGGACCUCUUCUUGCAUGUUGUGGUGGAGAGAUUUUUCGGGGUGGGGUGAGCUCGCGGGCUAUCAGCUUGUUGGUGGGGUAAUGGCCUACCAAGGCGUUGACAGGUAGCCGGCCUGUGAGAGUGUACGGCGACACUGGGACUGAGAGACGGCCCAGAGUCCUACGGGAGGGAGAAGGGGGGAAGAUUGCACAAUGGGCGCAAGCGUGAUGCAGAGACGCCGCGUGGGGGAUGACGGCCUUCGGGUUGUGAAAUCCUUUCGCGAGGGACGAAGCGCGUUGUGACGGUACCUGGAGAAGAAGCACCGGCUAACUACGUG